rnacentral:rRNA from 1 species
AUGACGGGGAAGUGGGAUGAGGGGUUAAUUCGAUCAAUAUUCAAUCAUGUGGACACCACUAGAAUUCUCCAAAUCCCACUCAACUAUGGUGCAUUUGAUGACUUUAUAGCUUGGCACCCGGAACUGCGAGGUUUUUUUUCUGUUAAAUCAGCAUAUCGGGUACAGUGGAUUCAUACUUUUCAGAACCAUGCAAACAUAAUGGGUCGCCCAGGAGGGUCUGCAGCACCGGCAGUAUGGAGAAUGCUAUGGAAGCAAAAAGUCCCUCGUAAAAUUCAGAUUUUUGGAUGGAGGGCAUUACAUGGAAUAAUCCCUUUAAAGUCGAUUCUCGUUAACAGACAUGUGGGAGGGAAUGGAGCUUGUCCUAUUUGCCAUCAAGCAGCAGAAGGUAUCUGCCAUCUCUUGUUUGAAUGUGUCAAUGCAAGAGAACUCUGGGAGCAACUCGGCAUGACUAGCAUUAUUCAGGAUGCUUUGCGGAUCGAUCGAUCGGGAUCGGUAGUCCUGGAGCACUUACUCCUUCAGCCAGAGAUGAUGCUUGCGAUCAAAACAAACCUAUCGGUAAAGCAAGUCCUUUUGGUGGCAUGCUGGUACUUGUGGUGGAUACGACGUGAAUUGACACAUGAUGGAAAGCCACCACCUGCUACGCGAUGGCAUACUUCGGUGUUGGCAAUUGCAAAUAAUUUUUAUGAAGCUUCUCUACCUAGAUCAGGGACCAAGCAUCUGGGGUGGAUGAAGCCAGAUAUUGGGUAUGUGAAACUAAAUGUUGAUGUGGCCUUCUAUCUAGAUGAAGGAAGAGGGGCAACCGCGGCUGUGAUUAGGGACGGAAAAGGUAACUUCCUUGUUGCACAUUGCAUCUACUUAGACUAUGCUGCUGAUGCAACGAUGGCUGAAGCUAUGGCAAUGAGGGACGGGCUCAUAUUUGCUAACUCUUUGGGAUUUCCUCGGGUGGAAGCUGAAUCGGACUCACAAGUGGUGAUAAAUUAUUGUGACGGACAAUCCAUAUGGUGGGAUGUGGCAGCUGCAAUCUUUGCGGAAUGCCUGGAUGUGUCUACUUCGAUCGGGAAGGUCGUCUUUAAGCAUUGUUCUCGUACGCUUAAUAAAGCAGCGCAUGUGCUUGCUCAAUUUUCUUAUUGUAAUAAGACUUCUGUUAGUUGGACUGAGGAGCCGCCGAGCUGCCUAGUCCCGGUACUUGUGGAUGAUGUACUGCCUUUGAACAAUUAG